rnacentral:lncRNA from 1 species
GUCAGCAUGCAUAGGACUUAAGAUGCAGUUAGCAAUUUUGGCAAAUGGCACCAUCUCCUACCCGUACCACCCCAAGGUAUGGAAUGAGUCCCUCAUGAAGGCAGCAGAAGCAGUGGAGAAUAGAGAAAGGGUGCUUUCAAAUAAAAGCGACUAGGACUGAGAGUUGAUGUCCUUUAUUUUCCUUACCAAUAGACUUACUACAAGAUUUUGCUGCUCUGUGGGAAACCCCCAGUCAUUCCAUAGACCUGCAAAAGACUACUUCUUACGUAAGUUUUGGCUAGAGGUUGGAAAAAUUGUGGGGUUUUUUUGUUUUUGUUUUAAUUAGAAGCAGAAUUGUCACAAGGCCCCUGGACCUGUUGUGGAUACUGACAGCUGCAGUCCCAAAAUGUAAGUUCUCCAGGCUGCAGGUUGGGGCAGCAAUGAAAACGCAGCUAAAUCGAGCUAUCGAGCUGGCGCGGCGGGGGGGGGCGGCGGUGGUUCUGGACUUCAUUCCUGAGGUCAGUGUCUCCAUCCUGGCCGCAGCAGAAUUACAAAACAUGAACCCUUUGGGAUAUUUGCACCAAGCGCUCCCAUGAAACGAGUGUGAAGAAAAAUUCACAAACGGCCCAGUUGGAGGAAAGGAGGUCCGGAGCCAGGAGGGGCAGGGCGAACGGGCCUGGGCGUACCCUCCAGGCUCGGUUUUUCCUGCCGCCCUCCCUGCCUUCCUCGACCUGCCAGCCAGCCAAGCAAGGAGCGAGCAGGAGCCAAGGCGCCUGAGAGGCCCGCUGGCCCCGCGGUUCCUCGCCUCAGGGUUUUUACGCGGCAGAGGCGAGUUGGGCCUUUCCGAAAGCAGGGUGUAUGUGUGUGUGGGGGGGAAGAGGGUACGGGGGACCAGCUCGCCACUCCCUGGAGCCGAGGGGCGGUUUCCCGAGCGUGCCCAGCAGGAUCAGGGGCGUGGUGCGAGGCUCGCCCCUCACAUCAAAGCUUAUGGGCCGUUUAAAAAGGAGCUCAGCCAGCCGAGAAGAUGUUUCAGAAUGGCUCAGGAAGGCACGCGUCCCUCUGACUGUUUUGAAUUGUGCAUCAUUACUCCCCCUGUGCUCAAAAACUCUGCUUGCAGCUGACAUUUCACUGUGAACCACCCACCCACUGCUCUUAUAGUACUUGGUAAUCCUUUGCUUUAGCUCCUGUUACAGUAUAAUUAAAACAGUCAGAAUACAAAACUCAGCUAACAAGAUUAACUACUUUGCUUUUAUGUGGAAGCCUUUCAGCUUCACUCUAGUAGAUGCUCUUGCUGUUUCAGACUGCAGUGUCUUUGGGGCAGAGAGCUAGGGAACUGCCUCUUUUAUAUGCUUUUAAAGCCUUGUGGCAUACUUACAAUAACCCAAUUUUUUGAAAAGGGAUAUAGAAUACUAAUAAAUAAGACAGCAGCUGAAAUCCUGUUGCUUAA